GGUCUCAUAGCUCAGUUGGUUAGAGCACCUGACUCAUAAUCAGGGUGUCGCUGGUUCAAAUCCAGUUGAGACCACAA
rnacentral:tRNA from 3 species